AUCUAAACUUUUAAUUCAUUUAAUUUGAAUCAUGUAAUGACUCUUAAACUUCCAAGUUUAUACGCAUUGUUUAAUUUUACAAACCUAGUUAGCAUAUAUAUUUUAUAUCAGUUAUCCAACUAUAAUUCUUUUUAACAUAAAUAAUGAGCUUAAAAUUUGUAGGUAAAAGAACCGCCAAAUAGCUUAUAUCAAAUAAAUUAAAAGAUUAGAUAAUAAAAUCAAAUAUUUAAAAAAUUAGAUGAUUGAAUCAAAACAACCCAUAAUUCAGGAAAAUUUUCCUAUUUACAUAUACAUCUAUUCCUUAUCAUUAUUCCUCAUAAUUUUGUCACAUGACGUCAUUUCUUUUUUUGUAUUUUUCUCAUAAUUUUGAACACGGUUGUUGAGUGUAUAUGCUCAUUAUUCCUCGUAAUCUUACCACGUGGCGUCAUUUCCUUUUUUUGAUUUUUCCCA
rnacentral:lncRNA from 1 species